AGCUUUGCGCAGUGGCAGUAUCGUAGCUGAUGAGGUUUAUCCGAGGCGCGAUUAUUGCUAAUUGAAAAAUACAAAAAUUGGCCGGGCGCGGUGGCUCAAGCCUGUAAUCCCAGCACUUUGGGAGGCCGAGGCGG